rnacentral:lncRNA from 1 species
AUUGCCUCUGAGUUCUUGCUCACUGCUACAUUGCCCGUGUCUUCAGACUGCACAUCCCAAAGGGCUUAGCUUCCCAGCUGGAAGUUGGUGGAGGGAGGAGGGCAGAGAAAUGGAAGGACUGGAGCCAAAGACCUCACUGGACUCAGAGUUGCCUUUCCAGCUUUUUGGAGACAGCCUCAUUCAGACAAGCUCUGGAGUUGGUCAAAGCUUGGUUCAAAUCCUGACUCCACCACUUAUUAACGAGAAGCUUUUGAGAUUGCUCUGCCACGAGAAAGCAACAUUACAGUUCUCAUAAAGCUGGGGACCCCGACUCUGCUGGCAAAACCCUGUUACAUCGUCAUUUCUAAAAGACAUAUAACCAUGUUGUCCAUCAAGUCUGGAGAAAGAAUAGUCUUUACCUUUAGCUGCCAGAGUCCUGAGAAUCACUUUGUCAUAGAGAUCCAGAAAAAUAUUGACUGUAUGUCAGGCCCAUGUCCUUUUGGGGAGGUUCAGCUUCAGCCCUCGACAUCGUUGUUGCCUACCCUCAACAGAACUUUCAUCUGGGAUGUCAAAGCUCAUAAGAG